rnacentral:lncRNA from 1 species
AUUGUGGGUGCUGUAUCGAAAUCUGUUUUCACGGUUGAUGAGAAAGAGCGUGAGAAGAAUGUUGAAGAAACAUAUGAGGCUCUUCAGUUUCUUGAGAAUGAGCUGAAGGACAAGAAGUUUUUUGGAGGAGAGGAAUUUGGGUUGGUAGAUAUUGCUGCUGUCUUCAUAGCAUUUUGGAUCCCAAUUUUUCAGGAAAUAGCAGGGUUGCAGUUAUUCACCAGUGAGAAAUUUCCUAUACUCUACAAAUGGAGCCAAGAAUUCCUUAACCACCCUUUUGUGCACGAAGUCCUUCCUCCUAGAGACCCACUUUUUGCCUACUUCAAAGCCCGCUAUGAAAGUCUUUCUGCUUCAAAAUAGACUUAUUUAAGGAUAUUUGUUGAACAACUUGUGUCUUGUUGAGUUAUUGCUGUUUGAAUUUCAUGUAAAAUGAUACUAGCUAUAUGUAAAUCCCAGAAAAAAAAAAAAAAGAAUCCUAGGAUCUUGUUUUCGUUUUGGCCAUUUCAGUUAAUAAAGAAAUUAUAUUUUUCGAUAUAAAUUUUGUUGUGAAAAGCUUUAUUCUUCCUUCAUAAAAUCCUUCAAUGUGCAUAAUCUUAUUCGUAGAGAGACUUAGAGCGGCUAGUAGCUACUACCUUGAAAUUUUUUCUUUAAUUCGAAGGACAACGUAUAUAUUAUAUAAUAAUAAUUAUUGCAAGUUGGAAAUCGUGUAAGCAUGUUUCAUGACUAUAUGAGUUAACAAUAUACUGUCUUGCCUCUGCAACCUUCAUGGAUUCUAAAAUUAUUCCCUUGGCUGCAGUUGUUAUUUCAAUGUUGCAACAUGAGUUAACAAUACAUUGCAUUAACAUGAGUGAACAAUACAUUACGCAUGCUGUUUUUAAGGAUUGUUUUAUGAUUUUCUCUGCUGUUUUCUGUGCUGCACAAGUGAUGGCCUUUCAAUUUUCUGAUUUUUUGUUGUUGUUUAUAAACUGCUCUUUACUUUGGAGUACGACUUCACUAUUAAUUCAUGAGACAAUUGCUGAAUUGUUGAAGUCGUGAAAUAUCACUCGACUUCACUAUUAAUUAGUUUUGCAUUUUUAAUAUCACUUAGUUAUUAUUAAUUUAUGGUUUAGUAUUUUAGAAUAUUAGUGUUUAGUUAUUAUUAAUUUACGAUUUAGUUAGAUAAAUUAUUAUACAUGUUAAAUUAAUUUUGUUAAAUUAUUAUUUUGUGUUUUAGAAUAUUAGUGUUUAUUACGGUUUAGUUACAUAAAUUAUUAUAGAUGAUCAAUUAAUUUUGUUAAAUUAUUAUUUUAUGUUUUAGAAUAUUAGUGUUUAGUUAUUAUUAAUUUACGAUUUAGUUAGAUAAAUUAUUAUACAUGUUAAAUUAUUAUUUUGUGUUUUAGAAUAUUAGUGUUUAGUUAUCAUUAAUUUAUGGUUUAGUUACAUAAAUUAUUAUAGAUGAGCAAUUAAUUUUGUUAAAUUAUUAUUUUAUGUUUUAGAAUAAUACCGUUUAGUUAUUAUUAAUUUACAGUUUAGUUAUUAUUUUGUGUUUUAGAAUAUGAGUUAGACAAAUUAUUAUUACACUGUUCACUCCCGUGAAACCUAUAAAAAGAGAGUUCAUUCUCACUUCGAUGCAUCUGUUGCAUCCAAACAAUCACCCUAGUUCUCUGAUUUUGACGUGUUUCUUAGAGUCAUACUGACAUAAUUUUUUUAGUGUUACAUACAUGAAAAAGGUAUUUAAAAAUGUUUUAAUUUUUUACAUUACAUGUAAUCCAAUGAUUCCUUACUAAUCAAUAAUUUUUUUUUACAAAUGGCUACUGAAGAACCCAUAAUAAGAGAUAAUGUUAGUGACUUCAGUGAUGAUGAGCAACAACAUGAUUUUGGUGAACAUGGUGAACCAAGCAAUCAAAGUGAGUCAUCUUCAUAUUUUGAAACUAUUAGUAGCCAAAUUUCUAAAAAUCAAGAGUACUCAAAUCCUUAUCAAAGGACAACGAGUGUUAGUACAAAUGACCUUUAUGAAGGGUUGAUAUUUGAAUCAAAACAAGCCGCUGUGAAUGCCAUUAAACAAUUCCAUUUUAUGCAUUCAUUUAAUUUUGAUGUGGUCAAGAACAAGCGUGACAAGUAUGUUGUCAUGUGUAAUCAAUAUGGUAAUGGAUGUUAUUGGAGGGCGAGAGUAUCGUUCAGCAAAAUACGCAAAAGGUGGGAGCUGAAGAAAUUAAACGGUAUUCACACAUGCACAAAUUCUACCAUAUCACAAGAUCAUGUUAGGUUAGAUUCUUCUGUAAUUGCCCAUAAUAUUGUUCAUUUAGUGAAAACAAAUUCGGAUAUCGAAAUCAAAACCUUGAUUGCAGACAUGCAUCAACGGUUUCAUUACAUUGUUUCAUACAAAAAAGCAUGGACAGUAAACAAAAAGAUCUUGAAAUGGCAUUUGGAAGUUGGGAACAAUCAUAUAGUUACCUGCCUAUAUGGUUCACAGCUGCUCAACACUUUGUACCAGGUACCAUAGUAAAAUACACAACUUCAUCUUCAAUGGAGGAAGGUAACGAUAACCCUCUUAGGGUGAUUCUUAACCGUGUAUUUUAGGCGUUUAAUCCAUGCAUUGAAGGCUUCAAAUAUUGCAAGCCACUUGUGCAAGUAGAUGGGACAUUUUUAACUGGCAAAUACAAUGAUACUUUGUUGACUGCCAUCGGACAAGAUGGUAGUAGGGACAAUUUUCCACUUGCUUUUGCAAUUGUUGAGAGCGAGACUAAAGAAGCUUGGAUAUGGUUCUUGCAUUAUUUGUGAAGAUAUGUUACUCCGCAACCAAAUUUGUGUAUUAUAUCAGACAGGGGAACUGGUUUGCUAGCAACUUUACAAUCCAAACACGUUGGUUGGAAUGGACCAGAUGUUUCGUCUGUGUAUUGCAUUCGUCACAUUGCAUCAAAUUUCAACAAAUAGUUUAAAAAUGUUAACUUAAAAAAACAAGUCAUCAAUAUGGGUAUGUUUCUUCCUAUUUCAUGCAUCAUAUUCUUGCUUUAUUACAUGUUCACUAAAUUUUUUACUCAUUAUUCUAUCUUUUCGCACAGGGUAUGAGAUGAGGAAAUCAUGAUUUGAGGCUAAGUUGCUCGCUAGGCGAGCAGAGUUUCCACAAGCAGCAGAUUGGUUGGAUCAAAUUCGUAAGAGUAAAUUGACUCAGGCCUACGAUGAAGGAAAACGGUAUGGCCAUAUGACUACCAACCUUGUUGAAUGUAUGAAUUCUGUUUUGAAAGGAGCCCGAACAUUACCUAUUACUGCCUUAGUCAAUGAAACAUUUAAUAAAAUAAAUGAUUCAUUUGUCACUAACGACAUCAAAAUCAUGAAUAUGAUAAAGGCAGGGCAUAGGUACUCCGAAGACGUAUAUGUCAUGAUGCAAGAAAAUCAACACAUUGCUACCUCACAUUAUGUUCGCAUGUAUGUUCGAGAAACAAAGGAGUUUGAGGUUCAAGAAAUUGCAAAUACGCGACUUGGUCGACGAGGAAUGGCAUGCACUGUCAAAUUGAAUGAAUGGUUGUGUGAUUAUGGACAAUUUCAAGCACUUCGACUACCUUGCUCACAUGCAAUUGCAGCGUGUGCUUUUUGCAAUUUAAAUUAUGAUGACUUUGUUGACCCUGUAUACAAGUUGGAAAAUAUUUUCAAAGUUUAUCAACAUCAUUUUCAUUCCCUUGGAAGUGAAGACACGUGGCCUCAAUAUUUAGGUCCGCAUUUUAUGUCUGAUCCUUCGAAACGACGACAGAUAUCAGGCAGGCCAGCCACUACUCGGAUACAUAAUGAGAUGGAUGAAUCAAUUCCAAAUAGGCUUAAGAAAUGCUCAUUAUGUAAAACUGAAGGACAUAAUCAGAGUAACUGUCCAUACAAACAAGUACAUAACUAAAAUAACUUGUAAUUUUUAUGUUUUUCUUUCAUUUGUAUUGUGCGUUUUAUAUUAAUGUAUUAAUUAUGUUGUUUUUAAUUUUUAUUGAUAAAUUAUUUAAACUUUAAAUAAAAAACAUUUAAAGUAAACUAUAAUAAAAAUAUAUAUAACAUGUUUUAAAUAAUUAAACAUUAAAAUAAAAUAAUAACAUAUCAAAUAAAAUCACAAAAAAUAUACUAAUGAAAUCAACUUAAUAUUAUUUAUUAUAUAUUUAAAUAUAUAUUUUUUAACUUUUUUAUUUUAAAAAAAUAAAAUUGUUAACAUUAUAAAAUUAAAAAACAAAUUUAUGAAAAAAAAGGUUAACAAAUUAAAAACAAACUACAAAUAGUAAAAUAACGUUUUUAAAAAAAAAAGGAGGUUACGAUCUCAAAAUCGUAUACCUCAUGAAAUUUUUAAAAAAUAAGUAAGACAGUUUUACAACUUUAAAGUAAUAAAACAAAAUACGAGUUUUUUUUUAAUACGACUUUAAAGUCGUAAAAAAAUUAUAUUUACAUUGAAGUUGUAAAUAUUUUUACGAUUUCAGUUAAAAAAAUAAGAAAACUAAAAAGUCGUAAUAGGUGCUAACAACUGUUACAACUUAACCCGUUUUAGAUAAUUUUUUAAAAUAUACCCCAAAUGAAAAAUUGCGGAUUAUUUUAUCCCCAAUUGGUAAAAAAGCACCUGAAUACUAGAAACAAGGGUGGUCAAAGAUUCAAAGUAAUGAAUUUAUAAAAAAAAAAAGAAAAUAUUUAUAUAAUUACACAAAAUCUUAAAAAAUGUUGUUAUUAUUUACUCUAAUUUAUAAUUUGAAUUUAGGAUCGAGUAUAUUUAAGGAAAGUUCUCUACGCGGUUUACGUAAUCUCUUACAUCAUUUAUUUUUCCACGUUUGUUUACUCUGAGGAAUCUUCUUGAUAGGGGAAAGUUUUUUCAUAUUUUUUCUAGAUCCUUCUCAUGUGCAAUGUCUCCGCAUUCAUACGCAGCAAUCAAAAUGGAAUUAAUACACGGUAGCACUUUCCCAUUUUUUUGUUAUCGUCCCCACUAUUGACUAUACCCAUGAUAUGUAUAUAGGUAUAUCUUUUCUAAUUGAUUACGUAUCUGCUGAAUACUAGCUAGUCCUGAUUCCUAGCUCUAUAAAAGGAGAAUACCAUAGGAAUUCAUCACAGACAAACAAACAAUUUACCAGCUAUACUUGUUCCUUUUGAAGGUUAGAAGUGCUACAAUACAAACAAUGGCAGCUACUCAGGAAGAUGUGAAGCUUUUGGGUAUUGUGGGAAGCCCAUUUGUGUGCAGGGUCCAGAUUGCCCUUAAGUUGAAGGGAGUUGAAUACAAAUUUUUGGAAGAAAAUUUGGGCAACAAGAGUGAUUUGCUUCUCAAAUACAACCCUGUUCACAAGAAGGUUCCAGUGUUUGUUCACAAUGAGCAGCCCAUAGCAGAGUCUCUUGUGAUUGUUGAAUACAUUGAUGAGACAUGGAAGAACAACCCCAUCUUACCUUCUGAUCCUUACCAAAGAGCCUUGGCUCGUUUCUGGUCCAAAUUCAUUGAUGAUAAGGUAACUCAACAUUUCAAAAAUCUUCUUAGUUUUCAUGAUUUGUGCUGAUUUGUCAGCAAAACAUCACGAUGAAAUCUAUAUAUGUGAAAUCUUUCUGGUGUGGAAUAUAUAUGUGAAAUCUUUGAAUAUGUUAGAGAACUCAAAAGUCAACAGCCAACCAUGAUUUUUUUUAAUGUAUCAACUUUUUGUAAAACGAUAUUAGUGAUUUGAAACUUUAUGGAAUCAUAUACUAUGACUUUGGGAGAAAUUUUAUUUUAUUUUACUAUUUUUAUUUGGGGUGGGGGGAUUCUGUCAAGUAUUUGUUUCUAUAUAACUCGAUCUAAAUUCUGUUUGUCCUAAUCACUUUAAGAAAUAAUUACUAAUAAAUAAUGUGAUUUGCGAAAUCAGAUUGUGGGUGCAGUAUGGAAAUCUGUUUUCACGGUUGAUGAGAAAGAGCGUGAGAAGAAUGUUGAAGAAACAUAUGAGGCUCUUCAGUUUCUUGAGAAUGAACUGAAGGACAAGAAGUUUUUUGGAGGAGAGGAAUUUGGGUUGGUAGAUAUUGCUGCUGUCUUCAUAGCAUUUUGGAUCCCAAUUUUUCAGGAAAUAGCAGGGUUGCAGUUAUUCACCAGUGAGAAAUUUCCUAUACUCUACAAAUGGAGCGAAGAAUCCCUUAACCACCCUUUAGUGCAAGAAGUCCUUCCUCCUAGAGACCCACUUUUUACCUUCUUCAAAGCCCGCUAUGAAAGUCUUUCUGCUUCAAAAUAGACUUAUUUAAGGAUAUUUGUUGAACAACUUGUGUCUUGUUGAGUUAUUGAUGUUUGAAUUUCAUGUCAAAUGAUACUAGCUAUAUGUAAAUCCCAAAAAAAAAAAAAAAGAAUCCUAGGAUCUUGUUUUCGUUUUGGCCAUUUCAGUUAAUAAAGAAAUUAUAUUUUUCGAUAUAAAUUUUGUUGUGAGAAGCUUUAUUCUUCCUUCAUUAAAUCCUUCAAUGUGCAUAAUCUUAUUCGUAGAGAGACUUAGAGCGGCUAGUAGCUACUACCUUAAAAAUUUUGCUUCAAUUCGAAGGACAACGUAUAUAUUAUGUAAUAUGUAAUUAAAUUUCAGCCAUACAAUUAUUUGUGUCUCUGGUUGACUUAAUGUUGUUCAAAUUUGAUGUCAAAUUGACACUUAAAGUAAUAUGUAAUAUGAUUUCCUAAGUUCUCUUUUGCUUGCCAAGCAGCAACAUGAAAAGCUGUGUGAAACAUAGAAUUUAUAGUUUAUUGAGAUAAAAGAGCCGAGUGAAAAAAAAAUCAUGGUGUGACUCUCAGAUAAACCACAAGUUGAGAUUGUUGACCACUGAAAAUUUUCAAAAACUCCACAAAAAUGGAGUCAGGAAUCAGGAGGAUUCACCAACCAACCAACAACAUAAUAAAUCAAUUGAAUCUAAAAGGAAGAGUAUUAGUAAGUAAUAACACGUUCUCUAAUACAUUUUUAAGACACUUUUUUUUUAUAAAGAAAUCUGUAUAGUAAAUUUUAAAUUAAAUAAUAAAUUGUUAAUAAAAUAUAAAGCACCAUUAAAUUUUUUUUAUUUUUAGAAUUAUUUGUUUACAUGCAGAAAUAAUUAUUAAUUCUUAAGUAUCCCUUAAAAGGAUAUAAGAAAAUUAGUGUUUAUAACACACAUUUAUUGUAGGGGUGUUCAAAUCUAAACAAAUCCAAAAAUAAAUCACAAAAAUUGAUAAAAAAAAAACUUCAAACCAAUAAAAAUUUAUUUGUUUUGGAAUUUUUUAUUACUAUUUUGUAUAAUCAAUCAGGUUUGAAUUUGGAUGAUAUUUUCAAAAUUGAACCAAUUCAAAUCAAACCUCACAUUAUAUUAACAUCAAUCUUACUAGGUAUUGAGCAUUAGGUAAUUGUAUUUUAAACUUUUAAUAGUUAUAAUAUAUAAUUUAUAAUUUAAUUCUUUUUAUAAGAUGUUCAUAAUAUGUGGUUUUUAUUAUUCUAUUAAUAAUAAAUAUUAAAUUAAUUUAUAAUAUUUUUUGCUCUGUAAUUUGAUCUGCAUAAUUUACUUUUACAUGUUACAGAAAGAGCAUAGCAAUAUAGUUGAAGAAUAAUGCUAAAUAUCAAAUAUUAUGCAAGUUACUUUUACAUCACAAGAUGAUGAUGCCAAUAUAAUUAAGAAAAAAUGUUAAACAGUAGUAAAAAGUAUUGUUUUUCAAAUUUUAAAAAGAGAUAGAAAAGAAAAUUUAUAUUUUAGAUCAGUAUAGCAUAAUAAUAAUUAUGUAAAUUUAGUUAUUAAAUUUUAUAUUGUAUUUAUAAAUUUUAAAAAACAUAAAUUCAUCAAACUGAACUGUAAAAAAUUAGUUUGGUUUAAUUUAAAUUUCAUGUUACUUUUAAAUUCAACUAAUCCAAAUCACAUAUUAAUUCUAUGUUUGGUUAUUAUUUUUCUUCUAAAAAUCAAACUAAAUCGCAUUACAUAUACCAUGUGUUUUCAGUUUGAAGAGAAAGAAGUGACGAGAGUUUUAAGGGAAAAGUGAAAAAAAAUGUGGGACUUAUUUAAAAAAAUGAAAUGACUCAUCUGGUUAUCUAUCAUUUUAUUUUGAAAUAUGUAAAUAUAAUAUUAAUACGAAUAAAUACAUAUUUACAACAAACACACAUUUUUCUAUUUCUUCUAUUUAUUUCUACUUGUCUCAAUCCAAGUAACUUAAAAAUCUUCUCAUUAAAUACUCAUUCUCUCUUCUAUUCUCUUCUCUUUUAAAUCUUUUUAAAAUUUUCUCUCAUUUUUUCCAUACGCUUUGGCAUGCACGAGCAUUGCAAUAGGACCUUCUUUGACAUCUCACAAGAAUGUUAGCACCUCAAAUCAUUUAUCAUACAAACAAAACAUUAACGCACUAUAAUUCAUUUGUAUUAAAUAUAAGAUUUAAAUAUAAUUUUAAUAUUAAUCCUUAAAAAAUAAGACCAUUUUGACUUUGGUCUUUUAAAAAAAUUAUUUUAAUUUUAGUCCAUGUAAAAUUUUUUUUUUUAAAUCUUUAUUGUCAAAUAGCAACAUUAACUGAUAUGAUAACUACAAUAUUUCACAUAAUUAUGAAAUCUUAAAGAAUAGGUACAUCUAAUAUGCUUAAAACUGAGUAAGUAUAUCAGACUGGUCGAUAAGAUUUUUUUUUUUUUAUGUAAUUUGAUGAGAUAUAUUAAAACAUAGUUUAUUAAAAAGUAUAUGCAUAAUUGUUUUGUCAUGCUUUUUAAUUACGUGGCAAAGUCAAUAAAAUCUAAAUAUCAUUGUUAUGUCAUCAAAUUGGAUCAUUUGACAGAGACUAAAACUAAACAUAUUAAAUUUUACGUGAACUAAAUCAAAAUAAUAUUAUUUUUCAGAAUAUAAAAAUCAUAUUUAUGCCUAAUAAGAAAUUACAUAAUCUCUUGCAUCAUUUUUUCUCUCUCUUCAUAUAUAGGUGCAUAAAAUUAUUUUGAUGAGGAAGGUUUCUUCAAUAUUUUCAAAAUCCUCCUUCAAUUUAGUGAUUGCGGUAGAUAUUCAAUUAGAAAAAAUAUCUCUUAGUAAAAUCAAUAUCAUUGAUUAUUUUUUUAGAAUUCCUAUAUUGCAUGUUAUGAUAAUUUAUAGAAUAAAUCAUAGCAAUACUCGUUGAACUUUUAUCAAAUUAUACAUAAUUUUAUCCUUUUUUAUUUUCCUAGACUUCUUUUUUUAAGUUUGAAAACAUUAUAUUGACGUCUCUUUAAAUGUUUGAAAACAUUACACUACAAUAAUCUUCCUUUAAUUUUCAAAAUAUUACAUUGACACUUUCUUAUAUGUUUAAAAAUGCUAUUGUAAUAUUCCUUCAAAUCUUACACUAAUAUUUCUUAUAAGAAAUGUCAAAAGUAAUGAUCCUAUAAAAAGAUGUAUAAUUAUAUUAAAUUUUUAUAGAUGUUGUUGUAAUUUACUCUAAUGUAUUCAUCUUUUGUUCUAAAAUAAUUAUUGUGUGAAAAAAAUAUUUAUUCUAAAAUAAGUAUCAUUUUAAAUUUUUAAAGUAACUUUUAUUAUUUUUUCUAUUCAUAUUCCUUAUAAUAUUAAUGAUAUGGGUAACAAAAAUUAAUAUUAAUGAUAUGGGUAACAAAAAUUAAAAGUGAAUUAAUGGUGAUAAAGUUAAAUUUAAAAAAAUGUUAUUUUUUUAUCUAUUUAUUAAUUUUUUUUAUUUGUGUAAAAUAAUCUAGUAUGAUAAUUAUAAAUAAUGAAAUAAGAAAGUAUUUUUUUUUUGUUGACAACAACCAUAAUCACUCCUUUUCAAGGGUGUGUAUUUUAUGGGAUCGAAUAAAACCACGGUGUGUGUUACUAUCUAAGUUUUAUCUAUGGAGUAAAAAGUACAUAUUUGACUAUUCAUUAGGAGAAUAUAUAUAAAAAAAAUUCUAUACGGUUUACGUAAUCUCUUACAUCAUUUAUUUUCCCACAUUCUAUAAAUAUAUAAUACAUCUUAUCUAACUGAUGACGUAUCCGCUGAAUACUAGUCCUGAUUCCCGGCUCAAUAAGAGGAGAAUACCUUAGGAAUCCAUAAGAAACAUUAAUUCACCACUAUAGUUGUUCCUUUUGAAGGUUAGAAGUGCUACAAUGGCUGCUAAUCAGGAAGAUACUCAGGAAGAUGUGAAGCUUUUGGGUAUUGUGGGAAGCCCAUUUGUGUGCAGGGUGAAGAUUGCCCUCAAGUUGAAGGGAGUUCAAUACAAAUUUUUGGAACAAAAUUUGAGGAACAAGAGUGAACUGCUUCUCAAAUCCAACCCAGUUCACAAGAAGGUUCCAGUGUUUAUUCACAAUGAGAAGCCCAUAGCAGAAUCCCUUGUGAUUGUUGAGUACAUUGAUGAGACAUGGAAGAACAACCCCAUCUUACCUUCUGAUCCUUACCAAAGAACCUUGGCUCGUUUCUGGUCCAAAUUCAUUGAUGACAAGGUAACUCAACAUUUCAAAAAUCUUCUUAGUUUUCAUGAUUUGUGCUGAUUUGUCAGCUAAACAUCACGAUGACAUCUAUAUAUGUGAAAUCUUUUUGGUGAGGAAUAUAUAUGUGAAAUCUUUCAAUAUGAUAGAGAACUCAAAAGUCAACAGCCAACCAUGAUUUUUUUUAAUGUAUCAACUUUUUGUAAAACGAUAUUAGUGAUUUGAAACUUUAUGGAAUCAUAUACUAUGAUUUUGGGAGAAAUUUUAUUUUAUUUUACUAUUUUUAUUUCGGGUGGGGGGAUUCUGUCACGUAUUUGUUUCUAUAUAACUCGAUCUAAAUUCUGUUUGUCCUAAUCACUUUAAGAAAUAAUUACUAAUAAAUAAUGUGAUUUGCGAAAUCAGAUUGUGGGUGCUGUAUUGAAAUCUGUUUUCACGGUUGAUGAGAAAGAGCGUGAGAAGAAUGUUGAAGAAACAUAUGAGGCUCUUCAGUUUCUUGAGAAUGAGCUGAAGGACAAGAAGUUUUUUGGAGGAGAGGAAUUUGGGUUGGUAGAUAUUGCUGCUGUCUUCAUAGCAUUUUGGAUCCCAAUUUUUCAGGAAAUAGCAGGGUUGCAGUUAUUCACUAGUGAGAAAUUUCCUAUACUCUACAAAUGGAGCCAAGAAUUCCUUAACCACCCUCUUGUGCAAGAAGUCCUUCCUCCUAGAGACCCACUUUUUACCUUCUUCAAAGCCCGCUAUGAAAGUCUUUCUGCUUCAAAAUAGACUUAUUUAAGGAUUUUUGUUGAAUAACUUGUAACUUGUUGAGUUAUUGCUGUUUGAAUUUCGUGUCAAAU